rnacentral:rRNA from 1 species
GAUGAACGCUGGCGGCGUGCCUAAUACAUGCAAGUCGAGCGAACAGACGAGGAGCUUGCUCCUCUGACGUUAGCGGCGGACGGGUGAGUAACACGUGGAUAACCUACCUAUAAUACUGGGAUAACUUCGGGAAACCGGAGCUAAUACCGGAUAAUAUAUUGAACCGCAUGGGUCAAUAGUGAAAGACGGUUUUGCUGUCACUUAUAGAGGGAUCCGCGCCGCAUUAGCUAGUUGGUAAGGUAACGGGCUACCAAGGCGACGAUGCGUAGCCGACCUGAGAGGGUGAUCGGCCACACGGGAACUGAGACGCGGUCCAGACUCCUACGGGAGGCAGCAGUAGGGAAUCUGCCGCAAUGGGCGAAAGCAUGACGGAGCAACGCCGCGUGAGUGAUGAAGGUCUUCGGAUCGUAAAGCUCUGUUAUGAGGGAAGAACAAAUGUGUCAGUAACUAUGCACGUCUUGACGGUACCUAAUAAGAAAGCAACGGCUAACUACGUG